CCCGGGGUGGGCACGCUGUACGGCACGCAGCGGCUGCCCCAGCACGCCUACCCCGGGCCC
ensembl:miRNA gga-mir-12247-1 gga-mir-12247-1